GAGACCUUCAAGGGAAUUGAGGGGGCUCCUAUGAAUGAGGCCAAUGCCGUGUGCAGGGAAGGAAGGCCUUCGGGUUGUAAACUGCUUUUGUACGGAACGAAACGGUCUGGGUUAAUACCCUGGGCUAAUGACGGUACCGUAAGAAUAAGCACCGGCUAACUACGUGCCAGCAGCCGCGGUAAUACGUAGGGUGCAAGCGUUAAUCGGAAUUACUGGGCGUAAAGCGUGCGCAGGCGGUUUUGUAAGACAGGCGUGAAAUCCCCGGGCUCAACCUGGGAAUUGCGCUUGUGACUGCAAGGCUGGAGUGCGGCAGAGGGGGAUGGAAUUCCGCGUGUAGCAGUGAAAUGCGUAGAUAUGCGGAGGAACACCGAUGGCGAAGGCAAUCCCCUGGGCCUGCACUGACGCUCAUGCACGAAAGCGUGGGGAGCAAACAGGAUUAGAUACCCUGGUAGUCCACGCCCUAAACGAUGUCAACUGGUUGUUGGGAAUUUACUUUCUCAGUAACGAAGCUAACGCGUGAAGUUGACCGCCUGGGGAGUACGGCCGCAAGGUUGAAACUCAAAGGAU
rnacentral:rRNA from 1 species